AUGUUUAGUGUCCAGACUUUAAGUGAGUUUAAAUGUGAGCCUCCUACCGCAGUCCUGGAUAAUGAAGACAGCAGUAACAUCCAACCAGGCGACUGUCCUCCAUCUCCUGAAAUUCAGUCAGGAGGUGCGAUUCUGUUUCUACCCCACAGUUCAGCCGAGAACUCAACACUGCUGGAAGAUGAGGAGAGUACAGUCAGUGAGCCUACUGCUGCUCCACCGAGGGAUGAAGACAGCAGUAUCUUCCAACCAGAUGACUGCACUCCAUCUCCAGAAAUUCUUCCAUCAGGUGCGAUCCUGAUUCUACCCCACAGUUCAGUCGAGAACUCAACGCUGCUGGAAGAUCAGGAGAUUCCAGUUAGUUUUCAGUCUGGACUAAACAAGACGUCACAGUCCUCAGUGAGCAACACCGACAGUAACAGGAAGACAUCUGAGGACUCAACCACAUGUGGUAAGUAACAUUCACCUCCACUUGCAUCUGAAUUGUUGUGCAUUCUGAAGUAUGGCUGGCGUUUUAAAUGUCCUUUGAUUUUCAGAAGACACCGGGCCAAAGAAGAAGGGGAAGAAGGAGAAUUGCUUCAGAUGCGUUGUCUCUUGGUUUAGGAAGACUUUCAGCGGCCGUUCUUCUUGUGUUGAUGAGGAUUAGGGAUGUGUGAAGUAAUGUUCUGUGUAGGGUUUCUAUCGCAUGGUUUUCAGGGCUUUUGGGAAGUUUUCCAAUCAAAAUUGUCAUUGUUUGGUCAUUCUCCCUGUAUCUGCGUGGUUUUCUCCGGGUGCUCCGGUUUUUCCUACAAACAUAAAAUAUGUUUGAAAAAAAAGAAAAGACGCAGCUCAUUCAGGGACAGAUCUGAUUGCAGACAAUCAUAUGUCAAUAUUUGCUUGUAAAAGUCCCCAUAUCGCCUGAAUGCCCCAUAACAGAAAUACAGAACAUUCCCUCCCAUCAGGUGAGAUUAUUUCCUCUGGUUAUGAAUUUAAUGAUCAUACCGAUUUGGUGCUCAAAAGCCACCAGAAUCCACAACAAUUCCAAAUUCCUUGUUGCAGCAUUGAGAUGUGAUGACAUUUACACGUUUAACAGUCUCACAUUGUCUUGUGUGUGUUUAGUUUUCAGUCUGGACUGAACAAGACGUCACAGUCCUCAGUGAGCAACACCAACAGUAACAGGAAGACAUCUGAGGACUCAGCCACAUGUGGUAAGUAACAUUCCCCUCCACUUGCAUCUGAAUUGUUGUGCAUUCUGAAGUAUGGCUGGGGUUUUAAAUGGCCUUUGAUUUUCAGAAGACACCAGGACAAAGAAGAAGGGGAAAAAGAAGAAGAACUGCUUCAGACGCGUUGUCUCUUGGUUGAGGAAGACUUUCAGCUGCUGUGUUUCCUCCAUUGAUUAGGGCAGCAUGGUGGCUUCUGUGGUCAAUUUUGAUGUUGUGGCUUCACAGCAGAAGGUACUGGCUUUUUUCUGGGCCUCUUUCUGUCUGUGUAAAGCCUGCUCACUGUCCCCAUGUCUGCGUGGGUUUCCUCCGGGUGCUCCGGUUUCCUCCCACACUCAAUCAGUCAAUAAACAAUCAGACUGGAUUUUAAGUAACUUUCCCAUGACUCACUGAACAAGUAUCGGCAUUGAUUUAGACUCAGAGGGUGACAUGACCUGAAAGCUAUUGAAUAUUGAUACAAAUCUGGAAUUUUUAUUAAAAAUAUUCAUAAAAAACAGAAACACCAAAAUCCAAUAAAAUAGUGUAUGUCUCAUUCAACCAGUAUAGCAAAAUUGCUAAGUCUACACGGAGCCUAUUGACAAAAAUGCAGAUUUUUCUUAAAAUCUUCAUAAAAAAUAGUAACAGCAAAAGAUCCAGUUAAAAGAGGUUUGUCUCAUUCUACCUGUAUAGGAAGUCAAUUAGGCACUGAUGUUGCAUCAAUGGGUCACAUGACCUGGAAGCUAUUGUCAAAAAUGUCUGCAAGUCUACAUGGAGCCUAUUGAUGAAAAUGUUGAAUUUUUUAUUUAAAUUAUUGCCGAUGGGUCACAGGACCUUUCACUGUAAAAAAAGAAAUCUGUUAAUUUUAAAGUAAAAAACUGGCAGCUGUGGUUGCCAGAAUUUUACCGUAUGGUAAAACAUUUUCUACUAUUACAGUAAUAAGAUUUUCUUGCCCUCUGCACACUACACUGUUAAUAUUAAAGACAAAAUAAGAAAUAACUAAAAAGUACUUUUGGCCAUUAAGCUAAACCUGAACAGGCGCCACCUUCUGCUUCGGAGUGGGGAUGAGCUAUUAUUUAUCCAUUUAUCUGUCAGAAAACACUACUGCUCGACCCAGUUGGCAGGUUCAUUACAAUUUUAGUGCUGAGCCCCUCCAGUCUUGCUUUGUUCUUCCUUCAUAUAUUGUCUUUCUAGUUCACACUUCACAAUCAAAAAAGACAGUGCUUCUAUAAACCAGUUGGACUUUUAUACCCUCACCGUACGCGCUAACUUAACUGAUGUUACAGACAUCAGACCUGGCACCAAUGAUGAAAAAUAGAAAUAAUAACAGUGAAAUUAUACAUUGAAAUGAUAUUUAUAAUCUGCAAAUCAGUUUUAAUUAACCAAAAGUAUCAGUUGAAUUAACUCAAUAAGGAAGAAAAUGUCAUAGUAACUCAAAAUAUUUAAAUUAGUAGAUUUUCCUUGAAAAUUAAGUUUAGACUACUCAGUCUAUUUAAUUAUUUUGAACAUCCGGGUUUACAAUGCAGCAUCUUUUAGAAAAGGUGCUCUGAAACCCCUAAAUUGAAAAAAUCUGGGCUGCAGUGUGUGGAUAGAGUGCAUUUGUGUAUGUACAGUAUACUGCGGCUGAAUGUCAUGUGGGGUCACAUUAAGAGGUUAAACCAGUAUCUAGGCCAGCUGCCUCUCAGCUGACACAGACCCCCCACAUCACAGUGACAGAGAAGAUUGGAUCAGCCAUGAAACGGUUAAUCUAGUGCCGUGCUCAAUUGUGUGGAAAGGAAUCAUAGCACGCAAUGCUAAUCCUCAGGCUGGAAGGGAUAAAUAUUGACAUCAUGUUGACUGAUACGAUCAAAAGAGGUCUGUUUAGCCAUUUCAGGCAGUAUAACCAUGAUGUCUCACAGACAGGCUGAUAGUGGUAUCAUGAACUGAAGUCUAAUGUUGUGAUGUUGUAGUGAUGUGCUGGCAGCAGUCAAGGAUCUCCAAUAGUUGAGGUUUACAUAUGCAGUGCAUUUAUGAAUCACAAUUCAGAUUUGUAUAAUUUAAUGGUUAAAAUCACUUGUGAGUUCUGUUUGUUUGUAAUUUAUUAUCAUUUGGAUUAUGAGUGAUGAAAUGAUAUUUAGUGAUUUUCUUGAAAUCAUGUGAAUUGAAAACUAACAUUUAAUACAAACCUUUAAUACUCUUGUCAUUGAACACAAUGUGUCCAGGGCAAAACAAAGUGUCAGUAUAUACCCAAAGUACAUUGGUAGAAAGAUGUUCUAUAUAUAAACGUAUUAAAUGGGAUAAAAGGGAUAUUUAUAUUCUUGAUAAAACCUGUGCCAUCAAUCAUAUUUCUCCUUGAAUCAACCCUGCUGUAAACUAGUGACAGGCGUUUUGCACUGAUUAAAAAAAAGAGAAAAAUAUGGAUUUACUG
ensembl:lncRNA